UGGUAAACCAUUGAGGGCAUGCUUUGGGACCACAAAAUACUGUCAUGCAUGGCUGAGAAAUAUGCCUUGCAGCAACCCAGAUUGUCUGUAUUUGCAUGACAUUGGCUCACAAGACGAUAGUUUUACGAAGGAUGAAGUCAUAUCUGAACACACAAGGAGUAGAAUCCAACAAGUCACCAGUUCCUCAAUUAGUAUCCAACGGCGUUCAGGAAACGUAUUACCUCCUCCAGGAGAUGAUUACUGCAAUAAUAACAGCUCGACGC